rnacentral:lncRNA from 1 species
AUGGCUAGAGAGAGGGUCGAAGAGAAGCCAAGUUUGUCAGGACAUGCCCAGGCAGCGAGCCGCCGAGUUUGGGAGUUGCGGCCGGGAGCUGCGGCGGAUCACUGCCUCUUUCCCCACUCCCUCCCUGUUGGAGGAGGUGGGGGAGGGGAGGUGACGUCAGCGCCCCGCCUCGCCCCCAGGCCCCGGCGCGGACCGGGUUCUCCGGCGGGGUCCGCCUUCCGGACAGUAGCAGCAGCUAGCUUAGAGGCUGUGGCGUGUUCCCCUGCUACCGCGAUCCCCACGGUCGCUGCGGUCCCUAAGGUGAAGCGCCGGCCGUCUGCACCCUGCACCGUCUCCCGGGCUCCGCCGGGUGCUGGCGCCCCUCGCGCUCAGCACCUGAGCGGCCCCGGAGCCCCGCUGCGGGCACCUCUCCGGCUUGCUCCCUUUCCAGCCCUCUCCGGCAGCGUUUCCCACGCCUCGAACUGCAGGCUGCAUGCCCAGGACACAGUGACUCUGAUCCUGAUGCUUCUUGAGAAGGAACAAGGCAGAUAUGGCACCCAGGAGGAAGGCAGGCAUACGGUGUUCCUUUCAAAACCCUACAGUCCAUCCGAAUAA